rnacentral:sRNA from 1 species
UUUAUGUCGAAUCCUCAUAUGAGGUACGGAGAAACCAAUCUUUGGGGGUGAAUCUGCUUUUUGGCAGAGGGCUGCCUCGAGCCUAACCCGUCAGCUAACUUCGGAGACAGAGAGGAGA